CCUACGGGGGGCUGCAGUGGGGAAUAUUGGACAAUGGGGGCAACCCUGAUCCAGCCAUGCCGCGUGUGUGAAGAAGGCCCUCGGGUUGUAAAGCACUUUCAGUGAGGAAGAACGCCUGGUGGUUAAUACCCAUCAGGAAAGACAUCACUCACAGAAGAAGCACCGGCUAACUCCGUGCCAGCAGCCGCGGUAAUACGGAGGGUGCGAGCGUUAAUCGGAAUUACUGGGCGUAAAGCGCGCAUAGGUGGCUUGAUAAGCCGGUUGUGAAAGCCCCGGGCUCAACCUGGGAACGGCAUCCGGAACUGUCAAGCUAGAGUGCAGGAGAGGAAGGUAGAAUUCCCGGUGUAGCGGUGAAAUGCGUAGAGAUCGGGAGGAAUACCAGUGGCGAAGGCGGCCUUCUGGACUGACACUGACACUGAGGUGCGAAAGCGUGGGUAGCAAACAGGAUUAGAUACCCCUGUAGUC
rnacentral:rRNA from 1 species